UAUAUUUGGCGGCUGGCUUUGACCCACUGUGGACUCAGCUUUAAUCCCAGUGCCAUAAAUUUGUUUCCUGUUGACUUGUCAGUAGAAAAACUAAAUGGUUACGGAGGGGAUGCUGACAAGCAUCAAAAUGGGGAGUUGGAUCAGAAUGAGCCGCUGGAGGUGUAGAGGGUGUGCAGUACAAUGUUUCGGGCAUAGAUAUUUUCAUACAUUUUUAACUUCUUGUAAAUAGGAGUAGUAGAAAAGUGUAUUCGCCUCAUUCUUUCAUGUUCAUAUGCUUGGAAAACUGUAGAGGACUCUUUGCCAUACAUAAGUGAUUGACUAUACAAUAUAAUGAAUAAGAGAGUAUGAGAUUCCAGUUCACAGC
rnacentral:misc_RNA from 1 species